rnacentral:miRNA from 1 species
GAGAGAGAGAGAGAGAGAGAGAGAGAGAGAGAGAGAGAGGGAGGGAGAGGGAGAUGAUAGUCUUUAAUUUAUUAAAUGAAGGCUAGUCCUUAUAGUUAUUACCCAUGUGAGGUCUAAGAGUUUUGAGAGAGUUAAGCUGCGGUUUCGAUCUCUCUCUCUCUCUCUCUCUCUCUCUCUCUCUCUUUACAUUGAUCA